rnacentral:rRNA from 1 species
UACGUAGGGAGCAAGCGUUGUCCGGAAUCAUUGGGCGGAAAGCGCGCGUAGGUGGCCAUGUAAGUCCGCUGUGAAAGUCAAAGGCUCAACCUUUGAAAGCCGGUGGAUACUGCAUGGCUAGAGUACGGAAGAGGCGAGUGGAAUUCCUGGUGUAGCGGUGGAAUGCGCAGAUAUCAGGAGGAACACCAAUAGCGAAGGCAGCUCGCUGGGACGUCACUGACACUGAGGCGCGAAAGCGUGGGGAGCAAACAGG